UUCUCUUUGACUUGAAAGGACCCCCCUGGUUGUUACCUGCCCAUGUUGCAGGUAAGUGUAUGAUGUGCUGCUGCAGGCAGCUCUGCCAGCUCUGCUCCUGGCCUCAUCCUCACCUCCUGGCAGUGCUCUCCUCCUUGGAGCAUCCUGAGCCUCACGCGUGGAGUACUGGCAGAGCACCGGGAAAAACCGAGAGGGACCAACAGCUGGUACAGGGACUGCUGUCCUCCAAAGGGUUAGAGGGCUUUAGUUCAAGCCAGUCCUUUUAAUCAGAAAGGACACUUGCAGACUCUGCAGCACCAUCCACAAGGAUCCAGGAGAGUAGAAACACACCACCACUGACUUCUAGCCAGUGGAGUUUUCUGGAAUGUGAAUGCAGCUCCUUGAGCCACAGGAAGAAAUUGAACGUACAUCUUCCAUUUUUUAGCUGAGGGUAUUAAUUUUGUGUUAUUGGAUGGAAAGUUAACAACCUCUAAUUUUAUUUACAUGACCUUAAUUUUAAGUACCCAGAAAGUUAAAUUCAAAAUAUGAAGGGCUUAUAUUCAGAAAGUGUUUAAACAAACCUUCUGAUAGGUUAAUUCCCCCCUGCCCCCCCUGUCAUCAUUUGUUUUGGCAAAACCAGUUUAUUGAAUUUGUUCAAACUUCAGAGAAUGAUCAGCCAACCUGAAAUGUGUUUUGUGACUAAUGAUUUACCAAAAGAAAUUUACUGUCUUCUUCCCAGGAGGCAUAUCAUUUAUCUGGAAGUUCACGGUCUUCUCUUUUCCAGGUUGAAGCAUUCUGGGGCAUUCAGCUAUUCCUUGUGUGCAAACAGCAUUCUACCUCUGACCUUUCCUUGUUGUUUUCCUCUGACCCUACUCCAGUUUCCACUCAUGUGAAAAACACACGUUGACGAGCUGAAAAUCACUCACUCAGUGAAGGCAGAGUCUUGGUAGCUACCUCUGAAUAAAUGCUGCUAGAGAUUAUCUCA
rnacentral:lncRNA from 1 species